rnacentral:rRNA from 1 species
UGGGGAAUAUUGGGCAAUGGGCGGAAGCCUGACCCAGCGACGCCGCGUGGGGGAAGAAGUCUUUCGGGACGUAAACCCAUGUUGUACGGGACGAAGGAAGUGACGGUACCGUACGAGGAAGCCCCGGCAAACUACGUG